GUGUCAGCAGCCGCGGUAAUACGUAGGGGGCUAGCGUUGUCCGGAUUUAUUGGGCGUAAAGCGCGUGUAGGCGGCCAGGUAGGUCUGCUGUGAAAACCCGAGGCUUAACCUCGGGGCGCCGGCGGAAACCAUCUGGCUAGAGUCCGGAAGAGGAGAGUGGAAUUCCUGGUGUAGCGGUGAAAUGCGCAGAUAUCAGGAAGAACACCCGUGGCGAAGGCGGCUCUCUGGGACGGUACUGACGCUGAGACGCGAAAGCGUGGGGAGCGAACAGGAUUAGAUACCCCCGUAGUCC
rnacentral:rRNA from 1 species